UACGUAGGAUGCAAGCGUUGUCCGGAAUUACUGGGCGUAAAGGGCGCGCAGGCGGUGUGCCAAGUCAGAUGUGAAAUACUCCGGCUUAACCGGAGGGGGUCGUUUUGAAACUGGCAGACUAGAGUACAACAGAGGAUAGUGGAAUUCCCGGUGUAGUGGUGAAAUGCGUAGAUAUCGAGAGGAACACCUGCGGCGAAGGCGGGUAGCUGGGCCGACACUGACGCUGAGGCGCGAAAGCCAGGGGAGCGAACGGG
rnacentral:rRNA from 1 species